GUGAAACCAAACCAACUGGUAACAGUAGUUUAUCUGGGACUCAAAUUGCUGGUAUUAUAACUGGAGUUGUCGGUCCAGUAACAGUUGCAGUUGUAGUUAUUGUAAUAUUGUAUAUAAAGAAAAGGAAAAUAAGACUCGGAAGUGAAAGUGAAACGCCUUUACUCCGUAAAGAUUGUUUUCUGGAAGACCCUCACAGUGUUGAGUACAUAGAAGGAGAAGAUGCAAUAUUAACCUGUAAAUUAAACCCUAAAGGUCUACCUGUGGAAUGGCUGAAAUAUGGCAAUGGUGGUAAACUAGACGAAAAUUGUGAACAGUCUAAUGAAGACACAACACACAAACUUAUAAUAAAGAACGUUAAAUCAGUUCACAGUGGAGAAUAUUGUGUGAAAGUCGGAAACUUUUCCAGAAAAGUACAUCUGAACAUUAAAGGUAUUU